rnacentral:pre_miRNA from 1 species
UUAACUCAUAUUUGUAUGAAGUUGGAACGUUUGCCUACGUUUGCCGCUAGGGGCGCCGUUCCAACUCCGUACAAAUUUGAGUUA